rnacentral:rRNA from 1 species
AUUGAACGCUGGCGGCAUGCCUUACACAUGCAAGUCGAACGGCAGCACGGGUGCUUGCCCCUGGUGGCGAGUGGCGUACGGGUGAGUAAUACAUCGGAACAUGUCCUGUAGUGGGGGAUAGCCCGGCGAAAGCCGGAUUAAUACCGCAUACGAUCUACGGAUGAAAGCGGGGGACCUUCGGGCCUCGCGCUAUAGGGUUGGCCGAUAGCUGAUUAGCUAGUUGGUGGGGUAAAGGCCUACCAAGGCGACGAUCAGUAGCUGGUCUGAGAGGACGACCAGCCACACUGGGACUGAGACACGGCCCAGACUCCUACGGGAGGCAGCAGUGGGGAAUUUUGGACAAUGGGCGAAAGCCUGAUCCAGCAAUGCCGCGUGUGUGAAGAAGGCCUUCGGGUUGUAAAGCACUUUUGUCCGGAAAGAAAUCCUUGGCUCUAAUACAGUCGGGGGAUGACGGUACCGGAAGAAUAAGCACCGGCUAACUACGUG